rnacentral:rRNA from 1 species
UACGUAGGGUGCGAGCGUUGUCCGGAAUUAUUGGGCGUAAAGAGCUCGUAGGCGGCUUGUCGCGUCGGAUGUGAAAGCCCGGGGCUUAACUCCGGGUCUGCAUUCGAUACGGGCAGGCUAGAGUUCGGUAGGGGAGAUCGGAAUUCCUGGUGUAGCGGUGAAAUGCGUAGAGAUCCGGAGGAACACCGGUGGCGAAGGCGGAUCUCUGGGCCAUUACUGACGCUGAGGAGCGAAAGCGUGGGGAGCGAACAGG